UGGGGAAUAUUGGACAAUGGGCGAAAGCCUGAUCCAGCGACGCCGCGUGGGUGAUGAAGGCCUUCGGGUUGUAAAGCCCUUUCGUCAGGGAAGAUUAUGACGGUACCUGAAAAAGAAGCUCCGGCUAACUUCGUGCCAGCAGCCGCGGUAAUACGAAGGGAGCUAGCGUUACUCGGAAUUAUUGGGCGUAAAGCGUGCGUAGACGGCUUUGUAAGUCAGAAGUGAAAGCCUGGGGCUCAACCUCAGAAUUGCUUUUGAAACUGCAUAGCUAGAGUGUGAGAGGGGAUGGCGGAAUUCCUAGUGUAGAGGUGAAAUUCGUAGAUAUUAGGAGGAACACCGGUGGCGAAGGCGGCCAUCUGGCUCACAACUGACGUUGUUGCACGAAAGCGUGGGGAGCAAA
rnacentral:rRNA from 1 species